GUCCACGCCGUAAACGAUGAGUGCUAGGUGUUGCGAGUAUUGACCCUCGCAGUGCCAAAGCUAACGCGUUAAGCACUCCGCCUGGGGAGUACGAUCGCAAGAUUAAAACUACAAAGGAAUUGACGGGGGCCCGCACAAGCGGUGGAGCAUGUGGUUUAAUUCGACGCAACGCGCAGAACCUUACCUGGGUUUGAACUGCAGUAGACCGGUGCAGAGAUGCACUUUCCUUCGGGGCUGCUGUGGAGGUGCUGCAUGGCUGUCGU
rnacentral:rRNA from 1 species